GGUAGCUAAGUUCGGAACGGAUAAGCGCUGAAUGCAUAUAAGCGCGAAGCCUUCUCCAAGACGAGUCAUCCCUAUCAGUCCCCUGGAAGACUACCAGGUUGAUAGGCCGGCGGUGUAAGCACAGCAAUGUGUUUAGCUUACCGGUACUAAUCGGACGAUUGGCUUAACCAC
rnacentral:rRNA from 1 species